rnacentral:rRNA from 1 species
ACACAUGCAAGUCGAACGGAGAAGCACCGCUUCGGUGGUGUUUCUUAGUGGCGAACGGGUGAGUAACGCGUGAGCAACCUGCCUUUCAGAGGGGGACAACAGUUGGAAACGACUGCUAAUACCGCAUAAUGUUCCGUUUGGGCAUCCUUACGGAACCAAAGAUUUUAUCGCUGAAAGAUGGGCUCGCGUCUGAUUAGCUGGUUGGCGGGGUAACGGCCCACCAAGGCGACGAUCAGUAGCCGGACUGAGAGGUCGAUCGGCCACAUUGGGACUGUGAUACGGCCCAGACUCCUACGGGAGGCAGCAGUGGGGAAUAUUGGGCAAUGGGCGCAAGCCUGACCCAGCAACGCCGCGUGAGGGAAGAAGGUUCUCGGAUUGUAAACCUCUUUUACCAGGGAAGAAGAAAGUGACGGUACCUGGAGAAAAAGUCACGGCUAACUACGUGCCAGCAGCCGCGGUAAUACGUAGGUGACAAGCGUUGUCCGGAUUUACUGGGUGUAAAGGGCGUGUAGGCGGGAAGGCAGGUCAGAUGUGAAAUGCCGGGGCUCAACCCCGGAACUGCAUUUGAAACCGUUUUUCUUGAGUAUCGGAGAGGCAGGCGGAAUUCCUAGUGUAGCGGUGAAAUGCAUAGAUAUUAGGAAGAACACCAGUGGCGAAGGCGCCCUGCUGGACGACAACUGACGCUGAGGCGCGAAAGCGUGGGGAGCAAACAGGAUUAGAUACCCUGGUAGUCCACGCCGUAAACGAUGGAUACUAGGUGUGGGGAGUAUUGAUCCUCUCCGUGCCGUCGUUAACACAAUAAGUAUCCCACCUGGGGAGUACGACCGCAAGGUUGAAACUCAAAGGAAUUGACGGGGGUCCGCACAAGCAGUGGAUUAUGUGGUUUAAUUCGACGCAACGCGAAGAACCUUACCAGGAUUUGACAUCCCGCUAACGAAGCAGAGAUGCAUUAG